rfam:Coprococcus eutactus CAG:665 genomic scaffold, scf110
GGAAGGAGGAGCGCUUAUGAGCGAAGCGAAUAACUCAAAUGCGCUCCGACGACCUGCCACGCUCGUGGAGGCGAGAGGGGCGAUACAUUGU